rnacentral:lncRNA from 1 species
AUGGCUGAUGUAGAAUCCUACAUAUUUGAGACUCAGUGAUCGAGAAUCAGGAUUCUCUGAUCAUAAGUUCCACACAUUACGGGUACCGAGGUCAAGAGUCCCACUGGUUGGGACUUUUCGAUCAGGGUUACAUAUCGAUGAAUUCUGAUGCCCGAUUACCCAUCGGAUUUGGACUCAAUAUUUAUGAGAGGUUUAAUUAAUGAUUUGAUCACUAAUUAACUCAAUUUGAUUGAGUAAUUAUUUUUAGAUCAAGUCCAAUUGAAUUGGAUUC